rnacentral:rRNA from 1 species
GGACGAACGCUGGCGGCGUGCUUAACACAUGCAAGUCGAGCGGUAAGGCUCCUUCGGGGAGUACACGAGCGGCGAACGGGUGAGUAACACGUGAGCAACCUGCCCUUCACAUUGGGAUAACCCCGGGAAACGGGCUAAUACCAAAUACGACCACCGACGACAUCGUCUGGUGGUGGAAAGCUCCGGCGGUGAGGGAUGGGCUCGCGGCCUAUCAGCUAGUUGGUGGGGUNACGGCCCACCAAGGCGACGACGGGUAGCCGGCCUGAGAGGGUGACCGGCCACACUGGGACUGAGACACGGCCCAGACUCCUACGGGAGGCAGCAGUGGGGAAUAUUGGACAAUGGGCGAAAGCCUGAUCCAGCAACGCCGCGUGA